rnacentral:rRNA from 1 species
GACGAACGCUGGCGGCGUGCUUAACACAUGCAAGUCGAACGCUGAAGCUCAGCUUGCUGGGUGGAUGAGUGGCGAACGGGUGAGUAACACGUGAGUAACCUGCCCUCUUCUUUGGGAUAACGCCCGGAAACGGGUGCUAAUACUGGAUAUUCACUGAUUCUCGCAUGGGGGUUGGUGGAAAGGUUUUUUCUGGUGGGGGAUGGGCUCGCGGCCUAUCAGCUUGUUGGUGGGGUGAUGGCCUACCAAGGCUUUGACGGGUAGCCGGCCUGAGAGGGUGACCGGUCACAUUGGGACUGAGAUACGGCCCAGACUCCUACGGGAGGCAGCAGUGGGGAAUAUUGCACAAUGGGCGAAAGCCUGAUGCAGCGACGCCGCGUGAGGGAUGGAGGCCUUCGGGUUGUAAACCUCUUUCGCUCAUGGUCAAGCCACAGCUUUGGGUUGUGGUGAGGGUAGUGGGUAAAGAAGCGCCGGCUAACUACGUG